CCGGCACGGGUGAGUAACACGUAUCCAACCUGCCGUCUACUCUUGGACAGCCUUCUGAAGGAAGAUUAAUACAAGAUGGCAUCAUGAGUCCGCAUGUUCACAUGAUUAAAGGUAUUCCGGUAGACGAUGGGGAUGCGUUCCAUUAGUUUGUUGGCGGGGUAACGGCCCACCAAGACUACGAUGGAUAGGGGUUCUGAGAGGAAGGUCCCCCACAUUGGAACUGAGACACGGUCCAA
rnacentral:rRNA from 1 species